rnacentral:rRNA from 1 species
GAUGAACGCUGGCGGCGUGCCUAAUACAUGCAAGUCGAGCGAACGGACGAGAAGCUUGCUUUUCUGAUGUUGGCGGCGGACGGGUGUGUAACACGUGGAUAACCUACCUAUAAGACUGGGAUAACUUCGGGAAACCGGAGCUAAUACCGGAUAAUAUUUUGAACCGCAUGGUUCAAAAGUGAAAGACGGUCUUGCUGUCACUUAUAGAUGGAUCCGCGCUGCAUUAGCUAGUUGGUAAGGUAACGGCUUACCAAGGCAACGAUGCAUAGCCGACCUGAGAGGGUGAUCGGCCACACUGGAACUGAGACACGGUCCAGACUCCUACGGGAGGCAGCAGUAGGGAAUCUUCCGCAAUGGGCGAAAGCCUGACGGAGCAACGCCGCGUGAGUGAUGAAGGUCUUCGGAUCGUAAAACUCUGUUAUUAGGGAAGAACAUAUGUGUAAGUAACUGUGCACAUCUUGACGGUACCUAAUCAGAAAGCCACGGCUAACUACGUG